AGAGAUAUUUGAACUCGGAAUUGCUAGUAAAUUUUAUUGAAUAAGUAGAAUUGAAUGUGUCCCUGUUCUUUGUACACACCGCCCGUCGCUAUCUAAGAUGAUAUAUGCUGUGAAAUUAGUGCAAACUACUUGAACAAUAUGUAUUAGAUCUGAUAUAAGUCGUAAUAUGGUUGCUG
rnacentral:rRNA from 1 species